rnacentral:rRNA from 1 species
GACGAACGCUGGCGGCGUGCCUAAUACAUGCAAGUCGAGCGCAGGAAGCUCACGGAACUCUUCGGAGGGAAGUGAAGGGAAUGAGCGGCGGACGGGUGAGUAACACGUAAGGAACCUGCCCCAAGGAUUGGGAUAACUCCGAGAAAUCGGAGCUAAUACCGAAUAGUUCUUCAGACCGCAUGGUCUGAUGAUGAAAGGCGCUUCGGCGUCACCUUGGGAUGGCCUUGCGGUGCAUUAGCUAGUUGGUGGGGUAAUGGCCCACCAAGGCGACGAUGCAUAGCCGACCUGAGAGGGUGAUCGGCCACACUGGGACUGAGACACGGCCCAGACUCCUACGGGAGGCAGCAGUAGGGAAUCUUCCACAAUGGACGAAAGACUGAUGGAGCAACGCCGCGUGAGUGAUGAAGGUUUUCGGAUCGUAAAACUCUGUUGUAAGGGAAGAACAGGCAUGAGAGGUAAUGCUCAUGCUAUGACGGUACCUUGCGAGAAAGCCACGGCUAACUACGUGCCAGCAGCCGCCGUAAAAC